rfam:Sulfobacillus thermosulfidooxidans strain ZBY contig7, whole genome shotgun sequence.
GGGGGCGAACUAGAUUCGACGGGGAUGAACGGGGUGUUGGAACGCGAGCCGAGGUCCUGUGCCUCGUUAAACAGCAGGAAACCAUUAAGUGCCAACAACACUGAAGAAAACUACGCUUUAGCUGCUUAAUCCCAGCUAACGCCUGAGUCCCAAGUUCCUACCUUCGGAUUCGUGGCGUAAAAAUGUAGGAUACCUUGGUAUAAGGUCCGAGAUAUCAAGGGAAAUUAAGGACUGGCCAUGCAGAUGCCGCGCUGUGUACGACACUGCUUGGUGAGACGAAUUUCACAGCUACGCUCGUAGGGGUCCGGCACGACGUGUCUUCGGACGGGACGGGCAGCACGUCCCCGCCUCCACCA